rnacentral:rRNA from 1 species
CAACUUUCAACAACGGAUCUCUUGGCUCUCGCAUCGAUGAAGGACGCAGCGAAAUGUGAUACGUAAUGUGAAUUGCAGAAUUCAGUGAAUCAUCGAAUCUUUGAACGCAUCUUGCACCCUUCGGUUAUUCCGAGGGGUACGCCUGUUUG